GUAACAUUUUUAUUUGGGCUCACAGUACUUUUCACAGGUGAGAUUUAAGUGCUUUUAGCCAAUUCAAGUGUAUCUUCUGUAAUCAAAACAUUUUGGUUUAGAGCUUGAAUUUAGUAAAAUAAAAAAACUUUGAGCAAAUACAGAAAUCUUAAGUGUUCACCCCGUAAAUUCAAUUUGAGUAGUCUUCCAUUAUUUUUAUUUCAAAUUAUUUGAAUAUUGGUUACAUAUUGUUUAAAUCUCCAGGAGUUUGAGGCCCAAGUUAAACAGUGACCAGUAUGCUCAGCAGCAGAGGAAGGAAGGCGUCUACAGCAAAUUGGUUCUGUGGCUGUCAUGAGCAGAUUGUCCAGGCCCCAGACAUUGCCUUUUGUUCCAUUCCAUUAUCUGAGAACAACUCGGACUUCGAAUCUGAAGGCCCUGAAUUAGGACUGGCCAGCACCAUGAGAACACCAGGAAGCUGUGCCUGGAUUUCACUGUGGUGGCAGGACAAGGUGCAGUCGAGACGGAGCCCGGUGAAGCUUAAGAGCAGCGGGAGAAGCUGCUGGUCCAGACCUGAUUUUGACACCUGGAGGGACAGUGAUCCAGGUGAGCCACCGGGGACAUAA
rnacentral:lncRNA from 1 species